rnacentral:misc_RNA from 1 species
UUAUAGUCGUGAUUGAGCGGCAUGUCUGAGCUCUUUUUAGGUUUUCGGCGGUGGCAAAGCCGCCGCCGAAAACCUAAAAAAGCGAGUAGCGAAAGCAGGAAACAGU